GGGACGGUCGUGGAUGUUCUGCGUACUCAAUUGUGCAUGUUAUGAUGCAGUGCACAAAUUAUAUACUUAGGGCUGCAAAUGGAGCUGAUAUUUCUGAGAUUGACUUGGACAUGGAUGUUACAAGACCAAUCUAAUUCAUGAAAAUUUAAAGAUUUGGUUGGGUCUAAUUCUAGUUGGGCCUAAUUGGAGAGCCAAAUGUAUUUUUAGGGUUGCGUAUGCUUCCUGGAUUAGUUACGUCCCUGGAAUCUUAAAGCAGCAACGGCGGGUGGGUGUCUUUAAUAAGGGAAUCGGAUGGCGCUUCUCUUUGUGGGCAUUCUCUACAACAAAUACAACCAGUAAACCAACACAAGGA
rnacentral:lncRNA from 1 species